rnacentral:rRNA from 1 species
GUCUGCGGCCAAACCACCCUGAAAGCAUCUGAUCUGUUCGUAUCUGGAAAGCUAAGCAGGGUUGGGCCUGGUUAGUACUUGGAUGUGAAACUGAGAAAUAGAUUGGCUAGGUAGCUUUCU